AAAACAUUCUGGAAGAACAGAAGGAACAAAGUCAUGGAGGCAAGGAUGCACUGAGCACACGUAGAAGGCAGGAAGGGGCCUGAAUCAGGACUGAGGCUGUAGCACGCGGGAGCAGACUCUGCACAGGAAAGAGAAACGAGAUAGAGGAGUUCAUGAACACAGCUCGAAGUCCUGGACUGAAGCUGCAAGCACCCGGGAGGAGCUGUCUCAGAUGGAGGAAUGAGAUGAUGAAAACAAUCAGAAAGCCACACCCAGUGUCGACUGCAGCAAGGACACAUGGCUUAGUAGGGCAAUGAAGAGUCUGGUGUAGUGAACUCGGCAAAUAAUGACAAAGUCACAGGUGACGGAGAUGGAGGAGCAUGAGGCUAGGUGACAGCUAUAAGACCACCUUCCUCUCCCUAUCAUGGCUGCCAGAUCAGGAGAAUUAAGAGAAAAGAGAAAGACAUCUUCAAAACCUUGGUGGAGCAACUUCUAGACCUCCUUCUCAGGAUAGGAAUGACGUUUAAAAUAAACAUCUCCAGGCUGGAAUGCAUGAA
rnacentral:lncRNA from 1 species